GUGUCAGCAGCCGCGGUAAUACCUGCAGCCCGAGUGGUGGCCGUUAUUAUUGGGCCUAAAACGUCCGUAGCCUGUUUGGUAGAUGCCUGUGUAAAUCGAACGGCUUAACCGUUCGAACUGCGGGUAGACCGCCAGACUUGGGACCGGGAGAGUCACGAAGUACUCCGGGGGUAGAGGUGAAAUUCUGUAAUCCUCGGGGGACUACCGGUGGCGAAGGCGUCGUGAUAGAACGGCUCCGACGGUGAGGGACGAAGCCCUGGGGCGCAAACCGGAUUAGAAACCCUGGUAGUCC
rnacentral:rRNA from 1 species